CCUACGGGCGGCAGCAGUGAGGAAUAUUGGUCAAUGGACGCAAGUCUGAACCAGCCAAGUCGCGUGAAGGAUGACUGCCCUAUGGGUUGUAAACUGCUUUUAUAAGGGAAUAAAACGAGGCACGUGUGCCUUGUUGCAUGUACUUUAUGAAUAAGGAUCGGCUAACUCCGUGCCAGCAGCCGCGGUAAUACGGAGGAUCCGAGCGUUAUCCGGAUUUAUUGGGUUUAAAGGGAGCGUAGGUGGUUUGUUAAGUCAGUUGUGAAAGUUUGCGGCUCAACCGUAAAAUUGCAGUUGAUACUGGCAGGCUUGAGUAUAGUUGCGGUAGGCGGAAUGCGUGGUGUAGCGGUGAAAUGCUUAGAUAUCACGCAGAACACCGAUUGCGAAGGCAGCUUACUAAACUGUGACUGACAUUGAUGCUCGAAAGUGUGGGUAUCAAACAGGAUUAGAUACCCGGGUAGUC
rnacentral:rRNA from 1 species